rnacentral:rRNA from 1 species
UAUGACGGUACCCUUUCGAAUAAGAGGUUGCUAACUCUGUGCCAGCAGCAGCGGUAAUACAGAGACCUCGAGCGUUAUCCGGAUUUACUGGGCGUAAAGCGUCUGUAGGGGGUUUGUUAAGUUCCAAGUAAAAUCUUAAGGCUCAACUUUAAGUUCGCUUGGAAAACUAAUAAACUGGAGUCCAGCAGAGGUGCAUGGAACUUGCGGUGUAGGAGUGAAAUCCGUUGAUAUCGCAAGGAACACCAAAGGCGAAGGCAUUGCACUGGGCUGGUACUGACCCUGAGAGACGAAAGCGUGGGGAGCAAAACGGAUUAGAUACCCGUGUAGUCCACGCCGUAAACGAUGGAUACUAGAUGUUCGGGGAUUCGACCCCCUGGGUGUCACAGCUAACGCGUUAAGUAUCCCGCCUGGGAAGUACGGCCGCAAGGCUAAAACUCAAAGGAAUAGACGGGGAUCCGCACAAGCGGUGGAGCGUCUGGUUUAAUUUGAUAGUAAGCAAUGGACCUCACCAAGGUUUGACAUCCUAUGACAACCCUGGAAACAGGGCUUCCUUCGGGCAUAGUGACAGGUGCUGCAUGGUCGUCGUCAGUUCGUGCCGUGAGGUGUUCCGUUAAGUCGGGAAACGAACGAAACCCUCGUCGCAUGUUACAAAUUUCAUGCGAGACUGCCCGGGUCAACCGGGAGGAAGGCGGGGAUGACGUCAGAUCAGCAUGGCCCUUAUACCUUGGGCUACACAGGCGCUACAAUGGCCGGUACAAAGGGUUGCAAAACCGCGAGGUGAAGCUAAUCCCAUAAAGCCGGUCCAAGUUCGGAUUGGAGGCUGCAACUCGCCUCCAUGAAGUUGGAAUCGCUAGUAAUCGUGGAUCAGCCAUACCACGGUGAAUACGUUCCCGGAUCUUGUACUCACCGCCCGUCACACCAAGAGAGUUGGUAGCUCCUGAAGCGUCGCAUUAGCGGCACCACGGAGAGAUCAGCGAUAGGGGUGAAGUCGUA